rnacentral:rRNA from 1 species
GGUUGAUCCUGCCAGUAGUGAUAUGCUUGUUUCAAAGAUUAAGCCAUGCAUGUCUAAGUAUAAGCGAACUUAUACAGUGAAACUGCAGAUGGCUCAUUAAAACAGUUUGAAUUUAUUUGAUGGAUGUACGCGAGUACUACAUGGAUAACCGUAGUAAUUCUAGAGCUAAUACAUGCAAGAACGCCCGACGGCAACGGAGGGUUGUAUUUAUUGGAUACAGAAACCAAACCCGGCAACGGGUUUCGUUUGUUGAUUCACAAUAACUGAUCGGACCGCUGCCCUGGCAGCGGUAG